GAAGAAGAAGAAGAAAGGAGCGAUUUUGAUAAUAUAAAAUGGCGGCGGAUGCUCUGAGGAUUUCGAGUUCUAGUUCUGGUUCGUUGGUUUGUAAUCUUAAUGGGUCACAGAGACGACCUGUUCUUCUUCCCCUGUCUCAUCGUGCUACCUUUCUGGGUCUUCCUCCUAGAGCUUCAUCUUCUUCGAUUUCUUCUUCAAUUCCUCUGUUUCUGGGUACUUCUCGUAUUGGGCUUGGUUCUUCCAAGCUCUCACACAGAAAAAAACAAUUCUCAGUCUUUGCUGCAGCAGAAGGUUUGUGUCAUCGCUCGUAUGGUUCAUAAAGCUUCCAUCUUUAUCUUACUUAAUUUGAUUUUUGACGUUAAAGUUUGAAAAUUUUACAUGCCGUCUAAGUGUUCGUUAAAUUGCCUCUAAGAAGUUAAGUUUUAAUUUUGGCUAAAUCUUGGAUUUUAUUUUGCUGAACUGCUUCCUUGUGGAUGUUUUUUUUGCUGUUAUAUAGGAGAAGCUAAGCGAGCUGUGCCGCUUAAAGAUUACCGAAACAUUGGUAUUAUGGCUCACAUAGACGCUGGAAAGACCACAACAACAGAGAGGAUUCUUUACUACACUGGAAGAAACUACAAAAUCGGUGAAGUGCAUGAAGGAACAGCUACUAUGGAUUGGAUGGAACAAGAGCAAGAAAGAGGAAUCACUAUUACUUCAGCUGCAACCACAACGUUUUGGGACAAACACAGGAUCAACAUCAUUGAUACACCGGGUCACGUCGAUUUCACUCUUGAAGUUGAACGUGCUCUGAGAGUU
rnacentral:lncRNA from 1 species